CGUAGAUGAUCGGGCACACACACACACACACACACACACACAGCAGCAGCAGAGAACACGAUCAAGGCAGAUAUCGACUAGGUGGGCACACCCUGAUAGGGAACCAUAUAUGAUUUUUCUUGUUCUGCUAAGGGCGUCGUUUACGCUUUUCCGUGUGCCGCUGAGAAGUUUCCCUACCAUCACCACCAGACACAGAGACGCUGUAGAGCGAUAGGACGCAGACGGAUAGAAUGGUGAAAAAGAGUAGUGAUGCGGAGGACGAGCUGGCGCAGCUGCAGGUGCCGGCGCACCCUUUGCCUGGCGCGCGACUUGUGGCCGCGUCGUGCACACCCUCCGACACCGUGAUGGCGUCAGACAGUAGUGGCGGUGCUGCGCAGGCUGCAAAGGUCGGCAAACUGCGAGAGCGCAUCAAACCCUAUCCCGUCGCCGGCAGCAGACCUGGGCACGGCGGCGUACUGGCGGACAUCGAGCGACGACGCGCGCGUGAGGUGCGCCGCACUUUGCGAGUCGCCGAGGCUGCAAAGCGAAGGCAGCAGAACCGCAUCAUUGCCAUGGCGCUUGCGCUCAUCGCAGCGCUUGGCGUGGGCCUCUUGAUAUUUUCGCGGUUUGUGUGAGAUGAAUGGCUUCAGCUCGUUUUGUGCCUCCCUUUCGUGCCUCCCCGGAUCCUUCCGAUGUACGACGCCCGCGUCGUCCAGAGUGCUCUUCGCGGUGCGUGCGUGUGGUUCUCACUAUCGGCUUGCGAACUGCAAGCUAUCGCACAGCGUACGUUUUUUUUUGUUCGAAGUAUGCGUGUACAGCGGCACAUUGCACGGCUUUGACUAUUCACAGAAUCAGUGAACACACGCACAUCCCAUUAGACGUAGAUUGAGGGCGAAGAGGGUUAUGAAGGAAGACAAUAUUAGAUGACGUGCGCGCCAUCCCUCCUCUGUCGCCUUGAGCCCCCUUUCGCACCCUCUUUCUCCUCGGUCAUCUGCGUCUUUUACGACCUUUCUCUUACGCCCCUCCUCCUAUACAUUGACUGGUGCGCCGCUUCCCCUUCUCGCUCGCGCAUGCACCGCUUCUCUGUGGCGAUAGGCCAGCUGCGCAUCAGGCGAUGCGGCGCGGUGACGGUGCCAAACCAAGCAGAGAACGGAGCGCACGAUGGAGCUUCGUUUUGCUGCCUAUCAGAUGCACGCGCCUGCUCUCGCGCCUGUCUGCUUCGCCGCACUCCUCCAUUCUACUUUCUCUCGCCCGGUUUCACUUUCUGCGAAGUCGGCGCAAGGAAACUAGACGGUGCCACCAGAGGUCACUGUGAUGUGACGCUGAAGAUACAGAAAACAAUACUUACCUCAUGUCCUUUCCCACCACGUGUUGUUGGAGCUUGCAGGCCCGCGGCAAGAAGGGCUCUCUGGCUGUUGCCUACUGCCCUUCUCCCUCUCCCUCUUUCGUCCAAUUUCGUGAUUCAGCACUGCUUUGCUGCGCACCUCACCUCAUGCUGCGAGGAGGAGGAGUGAAGGGGAGGACGCGCCUGCAGCGCUUGAUCGGUGUGAACGCAAAAAAAAAACGCCUUUUUCGCCUCUACCUCCUCGCUUCCUUUUUGCGUCCGUGUCUGUUUUCCACCCACGCGCACCGCCUCCAUCCCCCCUCUCCCUACACCUCGGCACGCAUACACAUGCCCGCUCUGCUAUAAG
rnacentral:misc_RNA from 1 species